rnacentral:rRNA from 1 species
GAUGAACGCUGACAGAAUGCUUAACACAUGCAAGUCGACUCGAGUCUUCGGACUUGGGUGGCGCACGGGUGAGUAACGCGUAAAGAACUUGCCUCUUAGACCGGGACAACAUCUGGAAACGGAUGCUAAUACCGGAUAUUAUGGUUUUUUCGCAUGGAGGAAUCAUGACAGCUAGAUGCGCUAAGAGAGAGCUUUGCGUCCCAUUAGCUGGUUGGUGAGGUAACGGCCCACCAAGGCAAUGAUGGGUAGCCGGCCUGAGAGGGUGAACGGCCACAAGGGGACUGAGACACGGCCCUUACUCCUACGGGAGGCAGCAGUGGGGAAUAUUGGACAAUGGACCGCAAGUCUGAUCCAGCAAUUCUGUGUGCACGAUGACGUUUUUCGGAAUGUAAAGUGCUUUCAGUCGGGAAGAAGUCAGUGACGGUACCGACAGAAGAAGCGACGGCUAAAUACGUGCCAGCAGCCGCGGUAAUACGUAUGUCGCAAGCGUUAUCCGGAUUUAUUGGGCGUAAAGCGCGUCUAGGCGGCAAGGAAAGUCUGAUGUGAAAAUGCGGAGCUCAACUCCGUAUGGCGUUGGAAACUGCCUUACUAGAGUACUGGAGAGGUAGGCGGAACUACAAGUGUAGAGGUGAAAUUCGUAGAUAUUUGUAGGAAUGCCGAUGGGGAAGCCAGCCUACUGGACAGAUACUGACGCUAAAGCGCGAAAGCGUGGGUAGCAAACAGG